GUGAGCACGAAAGUGCCAUAGAGAUCGUCAGGGACCGUGCGUAGGUAAGGAACUUCACUGUAAGUAAGCAGGUGACUCAGCGUUUGGGAGAUGGCUUGUGCAUGAAACUGUUCACGCAAGGCUGUUGGAUCAACUAAAGUAAUGGGAGUGCAUGUGUGAGAGGUUGAUGGUAUGAGAGAAAAUGUCUGUGAGGCCAGAUGGGUGCCUGAGACGAAAGAUACCAGAAUACGCAAUUGUGUGUAUGAAAACCAUUCCUGUGAGACUAAACUAGCAAAGACUGCGUGAGAGACUGAGAAAAUGUGGCUGCAACUGGAAGAGCGUGAGAGGCUGUAAUUUGUGUGUGUGUGUGUACAUGUGUGGGUGUAUACCUGAGCCUAGUGGCAGAUUGAUUUGCAGUUACUACUCCGGUCUAGCCCACAGGUUCAGGGACUCUGUAAGAGAAAAUGAUGGUGAGACUGAGUGAGUGAAAGUAAGCUAGAGACCACCUCACUGUGAGUGAGAGGCAAUGAGUAAAAAAGAAGGAAGUCAGUGCCGCUGGAGAGAAAACUGAUGACUGAGCAGCAUGUGAGAGUGUGAAACGUUUCAUGAGAGACUGUAAACCAGAGACUACAUGCUGGUGAAAAACAGAGAAACUGGAACAGAGUAAAUGAGACAGAGACCAUGUGGUCUGGUGAUCAGUGUGUGUGAGAAACUGAUGAGGCUGUAAUUGUGUCUGAGGAUACACAAUACGCUGGCUGGAUGCAGCAGAUGAUGGCGUAAACGACUAAGACGGGCCAUGAGAGGCUCUGUGUGUGAGACUUACUGAGAGCCUAGUAACAUUGGUGAAUUAGUAACAACAGGAUGUCAGAGGCUGAGUGAGGGCAAGUGACCGUGACACUGAUUAGGUGACUGAGAGUGAGAAAACGAGUGACGGAGAGUGUCUGAGAAACUGUGUGGGUCUGUGUAAAACUGCAAGAGACUUUAUUAAAGGAUGUAGAGCAAGGACUGGACAUGUUGGAAGCUGCUUGCAAAGAAAUGUGAGACUAGGCGACUAAGACAGUGUCUGAGACGCUGUGCGAUUGUGUAUGUGUGUGAAACUCUUACCAUAGUGACUCUGGGUGUGCAGAAUGGGUGUGAGUGUGAAGAGGUGGGAGAAAGAGUGAUUGUGGGUGUGUGCGCGAGAAACUUCCAGAGAGACCAGUGGUGGCUAUAAAUCACUAACCAUUUGUGUGUGUGAGAAGAUGACGGCCCGAGUGAGCGGUGGAAACAUCCUAUCAAAAGGCGUGACUCUGGGGGCUUCCCUGGUGGCACAGUGGUUGAGAGUCCGCCUGCCGAUGCAGGGGACACGGGUUCGUGCCCCGGUCCGGGAAGAUCCCACAUGCCGCAGAGCGGCUGGGCCCGUGAGCCAUGGCCGCUGAGCCUGCACGUCUGGAGCCUGUGCUCUGCAACGGGAGAGGCCACAGCAGUGAGAGGCCUGCAUACCGCAAAAAAAAAAAAAAAAGGCGUGACUCUGUGUGGAUGUGCAAAACUGACCCGUAAGGGUAACUGUGGUCUUGGCCGAAGGAGACCAUAGUAAGACUGGGGGCCAAUGACAGUAAACGACUCCCUGGGUGGCUGGGAGAGGCUGUGCAUUUGAGUAUGUAUGUAAGCUUGUUCGUAAGAGACUAUAGUAGAGAGAGACUGUAAAUUCAGAAGUGUGUGUGUAAAUAUGU
ensembl:lncRNA